CACAGAGAGGGCAUAACUACUCUGAGAGGGCACAAUAUGGGCAUAACUACUGUGAGGGGGCACACAUCUGUACAAAACUACUGUUAAGGUUGUACAAUAAGGGCAAUUCUACUGUGAGGGGUCAAAAUUUUUGAAAGUAUUGGGG